UACAGAGGUCUCAAGCGUUGUUCGGAAUUACUGGGCGUAAAGGGCGCGUAGGCGCCUUCUAAGUCGAACGUGAAAUCCCCGGGCUCAACCCGGGAACUGCGUCCGAUACUGGAAGGCUUGAAUCCGGGAGAGGGAUGUGGAAUUCCAGGUGUAGCGGUGAAAUGCGUAGAUAUGUGGAGGAAUACCGAUGGCGAAGGCAGCCCCCCUGGGAUAACACUGACGCUCUGCACGAAAGCGUGGG
rnacentral:rRNA from 1 species